CCACCCAUAUGCCCCUCCCUGAAUUAUAUACUUUAAAUAGCUCCACUGGACGCCCCACACCCAGCAGUUAGGAGAUUAGAAAGACACCAUCUGCUGAUUAAUAAACAGACAUGUAUUCACUUA